rnacentral:misc_RNA from 1 species
UCGUAACAAGGUUUCCGUAGGUGAACCUGCGGAAGGAUCAUUAAAGAUUAUGAAUGAAUAGAUUACUGGGGGAAUCGUCUGAACAAGGCCUGCGCUUAAUUGCGCGGCCAGUUCUUGAUUCUCUGCUAUCAGUUUUCUAUUUCUCAUCCUAAACACAAUGGAGUUUUUUCUCUAUGAACUACUUCCCUGGAGAGCUCGUCUCUCCAGUGGACAUAAACACAAACAAUAUUUUGUAUUAUGAAAAACUAUUAUACUAUAAAAUUUAAUAUUCAAAACUUUCAACAACGGAUCUCUUGGUUCUCGCAUCGAUGAAGAACGCAGCGAAUUGCGAUAUGUAUUGUGAAUUGCAGAUUUUCGUGAAUCAUCAAAUCUUUGAACGCACAUUGCGCCCUCUGGUAUUCCAGGGGGCAUGCCUGUUUGAGCGUCAUUUCUCUCUCAAACCUUUGGGUUUGGUAGUGAGUGAUACUCGUCUCGGGUUAACUUGAAAGUGGCUAGCCGUUGCCAUCUGCGUGAGCAGGGCUGCGUGUCAAGUCUAUGGACUCGACUCUUGCACAUCUACGUCUUAGGUUUGCGCCAAUUCGUGGUAAGCUUGGGUCAUAGAGACUCAUAGGUGUUAUAAAGACUCGCUGGUGUUUGUCUCCUUGAGGCAUACGGCUUUAACCAAAACUCUCAAAGUUUGACCUCAAAUCAGGUAGGAGUACCCGCUGAACUUAAGCAUAU